rnacentral:tRNA from 1 species
GCACUGUUAGCUCAAUUGGAUAGAGCGCCUGGCUACGGACUAGGAGGUUGGGGGUUCGACUCCCUCACAGUGUACCA